AACGAACGCUGGCGGCAGGCCUAAAACAUGCAAGUCGAACGCCCUAGCAAUAGGGAGUGGCGCACGGGUGAGUAACAUGUGGGAAUAUGCCUUUUGGUACGGAACAACUUUUGGAAACGAAAGCUAAUACCGUAUGGUCCCUUCGGGGUAAAGAUUUAUCGCCAAAAGAGUAGCCCGCACUGGAUUAGCUAGUUGGUAAGGUAAUGGCUUACCAAGGCGACGAUCCAUAGCUGGUCUGAGAGGACGAUCAGCCACACUGGGACUGAGACACGGCCCAGACUCCUACGGGAGGCAGCAGUUAGGAAUAUUGGACAAUGGGCGCAAGCCUGAUCCAGCCAUGCCGCGUGAGUGAUGAAGGCCUUCGGGUUGUAAAGCUCUUUAGUCCGACGAA
rnacentral:rRNA from 1 species